UAGGGAAUCUUCGGCAAUGGACGAAAGUCUGACCGAGCAACGCCGCGUGAGUGAAGAAGGUUUUCGGAUCGUAAAACUCUGUUGUUAGAGAAGAACAAGGACGUUAGUAACUGAACGUCCCCUGACGGUAUCUAACCAGAAAGCCACGGCUAACUACGUGCCAGCAGCCGCGGUAAUACGUAGGUGGCAAGCGUUGUCCGGAUGUAUUGGGCGUAAAGCGAGCGCAGGCGGUUUCUUAAGUCUGAUGUGAAAGCCCCCGGCUCAACCGGGGAGGGUCAUUGGAAACUGGGAGACUUGAGUGCAGAAGAGGAGAGUGGAAUUCCAGGUGUAGCGGUGAAAUGCAUAGAUAGAUGGAGGAACACCAGUGACGAAGGCGGCUCUCUGGUCUGUAGCUGACGCUGAGACUAGAGGGCGUGGGGAGCAAACAGG
rnacentral:rRNA from 1 species